GCAGAGCCUGUGGGCAGAGUCCCUGGGACCCACGGUGGCCCUGGGGUGUGUGGGGCGCGCUGAGCAGUCCUGACGCCUCCUAAACGGUCUCUUCCAGGGUCGAGGGGCCAGCGGUGACCUUCAGGGUGCGCGCCAAUGCCCAGAAUGUGACGGCGGCAGCCGCGGCGAAGGCGGCAGGAUUGCUUUCUUGCAGCAGUGAUGCUGGUUUUCAUGAAUAGUGGACUUUGCUCAGGAGGGAAGCUGGCUUGCAACACGUAGAAGACAUACUUGCUGUGUCCCACACAGAAGGAAUGAUUAAAAAGAGCAGAAGAAGGAUGGAGACUUCGAGACCACAAUGAUGGCUCUGACGGUGAUUGAG
rnacentral:lncRNA from 1 species